rnacentral:rRNA from 1 species
GGCGGUAUGCUUUACACAUGCAAGUCGAACGGCAGCAUGGGCUUCGGCCCGAUGGCGAGUGGCGAACGGGUGAGUAAUGCAUCGGAACGUGCCCAGCCGUGGGGGAUAGCUCGGCGAAAGUCCGGAUUAAUACCGCAUACGAUCCACGGAUGAAAGCGGGGGACCCUCGGGCCUCGCGCGACUGGAGCGGCUGAUGUCAGAUUAGGUAGCUGGUGGGGUAAAGGCUCACCAAGCCAACGAUCUGUAGCUGGUCUGAGAGGACGACCAGCCACACUGGGACUGAGACACGGCCCAGACUCCUACGGGAGGCAGCAGUGGGGAAUUUUGGACAAUGGGGGCAACCCUGAUCCAGCAAUACCGCGUGCAGGAAGAAAGCCUUCGGGUUGUAAACUGCUUUUGUACGGAACGAAACGGUAAGGGCUAAUACCUCUUGCUAAUGACGGUACCGUAAGAAUAAGCACCGGCUAACUACGUGCCAGCAGCCGCGGUAAUACGUA